GAUGAACGCUGGCGGCGUGCCUAAUACAUGCAAGUCGAGCGAACAGACGAGGAGCUUGCUCCUCUGACGUUAGCGGCGGACGGGUGAGUAACACGUGGAUAACCUACCUAUCAGACUGGGAUAACUUCGGGAAACCGGAGCUAAUACCGGAUAAUAUAUUGAACCGUAUGGUUCAAUAGUGAAAGACGGUUUUGCUGUCACUUAUAGAUGGAUCCGCGCCGCAUUAGCUAGUUGGUAAGGUAACGGCUUACCAAGGCGACGAUGCGUAGCCGAGCUGAGAGGGUGAUCGGCCACACUAGAACUGAGACACGGUCCAGACUCCUACGGGAGGCAGCAGUAGGGAAUCUUCCGCAAUGGGCGAAAGCCUGACGGAGCAACGCCGCGUGAGUGAUGAAGGUCUUCGGAUCGUAAAACUCUGUUAUUAGGGAAGAACAAAUGUGUAAGUAACUAUGCACGUCUUGACGGUACCUAAUCAGAAAGCCACGGCUAACUACGUG
rnacentral:rRNA from 1 species